AUAUAUAGAUAUAGAUAAUGAACAUUCUAUUUCUAUUCUCUCUCAUAGAUUGAUUGAAUUCUUUUGUUGAUCAAAGCUCUCUCUGAGUUUCUAUUUCUAUUCUCUCAAUAGAUUCAUUCAUUCGAUAAUCAAAGCUGAUCUCACUUUAUCUUUCUAUUCUCUCAAUAGAUUGAUUCAUUGAUUGAUUUCGCUCGCUGUUUCUUUUGUCCAUUGAUUUCGCCCUAAUCAAAUCUCCCUCUCACUUUCCUUACCAACCGCUCCAUGGAUUCACCGCCGUGUACUCCUCCGAUCACCACUCCUCGUACUCCCAUUUCGCCAUCCACACCUCGUACUCCGAUCACCACUCCUCCUCGUACUCCGAUUUCGCCAUCCACACCUCGUACUCCUUCGAUCACCACUCCUCGUACUCCUCCGCUUUCAUCAUCGUCCCUGGCGGCGGUAGUAACUCCGUCACCUCCUCGUGCACCAAUCAAGCAACGAAAGAUAUAUUCUACCCCGAUGCUACAGUUGAUGGAUAAAAUCAUUCAAGAGGGAGAAUUGUUGUUGGUUGAGUAUCGAAGGAAUCAGAACACCGCUGAAGCCAGGGAAAACGAAAGAAAAAGAAAAAUACGUAUUUUGAUGUCACUUCGAUGAUCAUUCAUUCCUUUUCUAUAUGAAAAUGGGUAAGUGAAAAGGUAAGAGGUUUAUUAUGAAAUUGUGAAAUUGAUCUGUUAGAGGUAGGUUAUGUUAUUUUCUGUUAGGAGAGUGUCUUUGCAGGUACAUCAACAUUCCUAUUCUUGUCAGUAAGAUAUUAAUUUGUUUUUGCCUCUUUUGAUUUAGUUUUUACUUUUUAUAGUAUGGAAAAAUGGUAAGGAAAAGGGUAAGAAAUUCCAUUUUUUUUUCAUUGCUAUUUUGUUAUUAUGAAAUUGUGAUGUUCUGAGGUAGGUAGGUAUUGCUAGUCAAUGCUGAACCAAAACAGGAGAAAAAGGGUUGCGACUCAAUCAGGUAAAGUAUGUGUUUUUUUUAGUAGAAGUAGAACUUCCUAACUAUGAUUGGUUUUAUUUUCCUUUUUCACAAACUUGCCAUACAAGUCAGUCUUUCCAUUAAAUAAAUAGACUUAUCCUGAAUACCUGAUUUAUUAUUCAAGUUCUCAAUGGGAUACAUCGCUUACAUAUGUUCUUGCUUCAGUAUCACAUCCCUAUCCCUUGUUUGUCAAACCACUGUUCUCAAUGGUAUUUAUUUCUUCCUCAAUUAAAAUUUAAUUAUUUUCUCUCAACAUAUUAUAUAAAUUCUUUCUAUGUUUUUUGUCCUUGUUUGUAUAAUCAUGUUGGCAAUAUCCAGAAGUAACUAAAAAUAGAAUGACAUUUAGUAUAUCUGUUGUUGAGGAGGACUUCCUUAAUCUGUGUUGUUUAUUUUUCUUUUCAAGCAACUUACCACUUAUAACAACGUUUAUUGCUAAUUCGGUAUUUAGUUUUAGCCUAGAAAAAAGUAACUCUUACUCUUAAUAACAAAUAGUUUUCUCUCCUCUACAAGAUUAAUGCAUGUAUGUAACCUUUUCUUGAAAUAGGAUGAGGCUGAUUCCUUGUUAUUUACUAAUUUUUCGAUGAUACUAACAUUCUGAUGGAAUCAGGUACAUGUGUGACUGGUUCUGGUCAUGCAGAGAAUGUUAAACAUGUAUCCUUAAAAGUGUGCUUCAGUUCAGCAAAUGCAGGUUUGGGUAAGUGGUUGGUGCUUUAUCAUGACGGUUUAUGCUUAUGCCUUUAUCACUUAAAUGAGCCUGAGGUGGCAAAAUGUGAAAAAGGGUUGGCAUUAUUGCGGCUGAGCUGGAUGGUGGCCAGACAAAGUGGAGGAUGCUGAGUGCGAUUUUAAUGGAUAUAUGUUUUCUAUGAGGAAUUAUGCAGGAAAUGAAGAGUCAUCUGUUGCUUUGUUCACCAAAGGUGACGGGUGCUAAGUGGGAAUUCUGUCAAGAUUUUAUGUCUUGACUAUGUUUGGAUUUGUUGCUAUCACGGAGGCAGGGCAGGUAUGAAUGUUGAAUCGACGAGGCUCGUUCAAAAUUAUAGAGAGGUGGUAUGGUGCUUUUUGGUGAUUGUUUUGUUUUGAACUGUUUUGGUCGAGGAAUUUUAUCUUGCAGUACAUGUACAUUAAACUGUUUUUGGUUGCAGAAGGAUUUCAUAUCAGGUAUGAGAGAGCAGAAUAGUGGAAAGAAGGAGCUUUGCUGGCAAAGUUACAUAUUUGUGGUAGCAACAAAUGGAGGAAGAAUAGUGGAAAGAAGAACUAUCGAGAUCCGGAAGGCGACAAUACCGAUUCUAGCAUGAAAUCAGAUUGUCCACCAUGUCAUCAUUGUGGAAGAAAAGGUAAUGCUCCUCUAAGAUCUUGGAUAAGGCCAGAUGUGAAGUGUAACAAAUACAACCGCUUGGGUCAUAUUUCAAAGAUCUACAAAUUCCAACAGGAAAAGAAGCAAGAAGAAACUCAGAUUGUAGAUCAAGAUUAUCAACACAGGUGAAAGUUGGUUAAUUGAUAAUGGAUGCACUAAUCACAUGUCAUAUGAUAUUGAGCUUUUCAAAGAUUUCAACGAGGAUUCUGUUUCAAAAGUUAAGAUUGGUAAUGGUUAAUUUGUUGAUGUCAAAUGAAGAGGAUCAAUUGCACAGUUGCUUGAAAAGGGCUUCAUACUUAUCUUUGAGAAUUGUUCAGAAUACCAAUGUAGGUUAAAAGUUUUUCUUUGGGCUUUUUGCAAUGUAAGGAAGCUGUUGUUGUAAAAUCAAUUUCUGAUACUGAAUUUUGUUCUAUACUUGGAUAAAAACAAUCUAGCAGAAGGUAUACUAGCAUUGGAGAAAAACAUGACUAGUUUUUCUCCUCACCAGAUUGUUAUGUUCACGAUCAGAACAAUAAGUAGAUUGCAGUUGAUACAUACAGAUCUUAGAGGAUCUUUGUCAGAAGCAUCAUUGGAUGGACCAUAUAUUACAUACAGAUCUUAGAGGAUCUUUGUCAGAAGGAUCUUUGUAAAUUCAAAAGAUGGGUUGAAAAUCAGAGUGAAUGCAAAAUUUAAAUGUUAAGAUCAGAUAAUGAAGGUCAAUGCACCUCAGAAAAAUUCAAUAAGAUUUAUGAGGAGGCUGGAAACAUUAUGGUGCGUGUGCUGGUGAAAGGAAGUUUAGGACUGUGAUAGAAAUGGUUAGCUGCUUGCUAUAUGAGCAAAAUAUCUCUUCAGCAGUUUUGGGCAGAAGCUGCAACAAGUCUGAUGAAAAACUCCAUUUGAAGGAUGGUGUUUGGCUGUGUUUGCUUCAGUCAUGUGACACUAGUACAUCUGAUAAGUUUUAUAAAAGGUUUCAGGCUGAAAUAUUCUUAGGCUACCACAAUGUCUCUAUAGCCUAUAGAAUCCUUUCAGCCAAAGUCAGAAAAAAUCUUCAUAAGUAGAAAUGUUCGUUUUGAGGAGGAGCAAGAAUGAAACUGGGAAGAAGAAAAACCAUGCAAGUAAAAUGGCAAAAAAUUGAAGAAUCUCCAGAAUUACUAUUUCGGGAAGAUCACGUUUCUCCACUAGAUCAUGAGAACAUUGAUGAUGCACAAGUACAAGAUUACUUGUUGAUAUUUAUGAUAGGUGCAGUUUUCUAAUAUUCUUGGUGCUAAAAAAAGCAGGAAAUUGUUGAUCAGUCCGCCGCAGAGGUUGAAUUCAUAGCCAAUUUAGGAAGUUGUUAAAAGAUGUUCAAGAGGAGCAGAGGAAAAGUACUAAGAAUCUAGUGUUUCAUGGAAAGACCCUGAAUUUAAUGUGAAGUUGCACUUUCUGAGGAUGAAAUCUCAAAUCUCAUUGCGAUCUUGGAAUAAAGAUCAGAGUAGAUAUUUUUACAAAGCCGCUUUCUAAAAGAAAGUUUGAAGUCUUGCAUAAAGAUCAGAGUCUACAGCUAUUAAAGCAAGGAGUAGUAUUGAGAUAAUGCUUCAACAUAUAUCCUCAUUGAUAAGAUCUAGAAACAGUUUGUUGGUGUUAUCUUUUAAUUAAAUUAGGAGGCUUUCUGUUCUGUUUUAGUAGAUUUAGUAUUUCGUUAGUGAGAGGUUUAAAUGUUAUUCUUUUUUUUUUUUGGGUAAGAAAUUAUAUUUUAGGAUAUUUAUCUGUAAUCAAUUUUUGUAUUUAAAGAAGCUUCAGAUGAAUUUUAGUAGAGUUUUUUUGUCUUAAUGUCUUGUUUGGAUCAUUGCUGAAAGGACUUAUCAGUGCUUCUCUUUUAGAUCAAGCACGGAUGCUUGUUAAAAAUGUGUGUUUGGUUGAAUUUUCUUUAUCUGCUGUGACUUUACAAAAAUAUUUGAGAAGAACUUAUUAUGAUCUUAAACAGAAAACGUCUCUCCUUUCAAACUAAAAAAUGAAUUUACUAAAUUUGAAAGAAUGUCCCAUUCCAAUCCUAUCUGAAUCGUGUUCCCUUGCAGACAGACAGACUGAAGUUCGACUGUUACUAUUCCUUUUGCAGUUCUGCUCACUCUCCGGAUUGUGCUUCUCUGGAUGUUGUCUUAAGGCAAAAGGGGGAAUUGAAUGCUCUUGUUUUUAUUUUUCAAACACUUGAUGCAUGAUGUUAGAAUAUGAAACAAUCGAUUUCUUUGGAGCAGAUACUAGUACUUGGUCUUAACAAUCACUUGAUGCAUGAUGUUAGAAUAGGAAUUGAAUGUUCUGAAAAGUUCCAUUUUGCAUGAUUUCUCUUUGAUUUUUGAUCCAUUGAGGUAAGGUUAGUAAUGUUUUUGUCUAAUUCACUUUUACCAUUAAUUAGUAAUUUACAUGUAUCUUCAAUAGUUAGAUGGACUUUUUUUUUAAUUUAGUUUAACUUUAAUGUUUGCGCAAGUCCUGGAAGUCAGAGCAAUGGGGAUACA